CAUCAUGAUUUACAUUUGAGUGAGUGGCGAACUGGUGAGUAACACGUGGGAAACCUGCCCAGAAGCGGGGGAUAACACCUGGAAACAGAUGCUAAUACCGCAUAACAACUUGGACCGCAUGGUCCGAGCUUGAAAGAUGGCUUCGGCUAUCACUUUUGGAUGGUCCCGCGGCGUAUUAGCUAGAUGGUGGGGUAACGGCUCACCAUGGCAAUGAUACGUAGCCGACCUGAGAGGGUAAUCGGCCACAUUGGGACUGAGACACGGCCCAAACUCCUACGGGAGGCAGCAGUAGGGAAUCUUCCACAAUGGACGAAAGUCUGAUGGAGCAACGCCGCGUGAGUGAAGAAGGGUUUCGGCUCGUAAAACUCUGUUGUUAAAGAAGAACAUAUCUGAGAGUAACUGUUCAGGUAUUGACGGUAUUUAACCAGAAAGCCACGGCUAACUACGUGCCAGCAGCCGCGGUAAUACGUAGGUGGCAAGCGUUGUCCGGAUUUAUUGGGCGUAAAGCGAGCGCAGGCGGUUUUUUAAGUCUGAUGUGAAAGCCUUCGGCUCAACCGAAGAAGUGCAUCGGAAACUGGGAAACUUGAGUGCAGAAGAGGACAGUGGAACUCCAUGUGUAGCGGUGAAAUGCGUAGAUAUAUGGAAGAACACCAGUGGCGAAGGCGGCUGUCUGGUCUGUAACUGACGCUGAGGCUCGAAAGUAUGGGUAGCAAACAGGAUUAGAUACCCUGGUAGUCCAUACCGUAAACGAUGAAUGCUAAGUGUUGGAGGGUUUCCGCCCUUCAGUGCUGCAGCUAACGCAUUAAGCAUUCCGCCUGGGGAGUACGGCCGCAAGGCUGAAACUCAAAGGAAUUGACGGGGGCCCGCACAAGCGGUGGAGCAUGUGGUUUAAUUCGAAGCUACGCGAAGAACCUUACCAGGUCUUGACAUACUAUGCAAAUCUAAGAGAUUAGACGUUCCCUUCGGGGACAUGGAUACAGGUGGUGCAUGGUUGUCGUCAGCUCGUGUCGUGAGAUGUUGGGUUAAGUCCCGCAACGAGCGCAACCCUUAUUAUCAGUUGCCAGCAUUAAGUUGGGCACUCUGGUGAGACUGCCGGUGACAAACCGGAGGAAGGUGGGGAUGACGUCAAAUCAUCAUGCCCCUUAUGACCUGGGCUACACACGUGCUACAAUGGAUGGUACAACGAGUUGCGAACUCGCGAGAGUAAGCUAAUCUCUUAAAGCCAUUCUCAGUUCGGAUUGUAGGCUGCAACUCGCCUACAUGAAGUCGGAAUCGCUAGUAAUCGCGGAUCAGCAUGCCGCGGUGAAUACGUUCCCGGGCCUUGUACACACCGCCCGUCACACCAUGAGAGUUUGUAAC
rnacentral:rRNA from 2 species